AGAGUGCUUAUACGGAAAUCUUGGGGCAAGUGAUCAAAGGUUGGGUGAUAACUCUCAACAUAGCUGACUUUGUUCACAUAACCGUACCAAGUGAGUUUGGUCAGUGGCGAUUCAAGUAUCAUUCUGUCAGUGUGUACGGAUUGUUCGCAUACAAUAUGUUAGAAUCUCUACACGAUGAGUCAAUGACAGAAUACUAUUGGAGUCUCCACUGAGACCUUUGUGGUCCACAUUCGGGUGCAAGGCAAGUGGAGUAAAGGAUCAAUGGAAUUGGCGAAAGAGGAUGGAAACUCUUCAUUACGAGACGGAGAGGUUAGACCCGAAGAAGUUUUAAACUGAGAUUAAGAUUCAAUCCUUGAGAUAUAUUUACGAAACAAUGUUUGUAACAUAGACACAGACAACAGUGGAACAAUCACAUAUGAAGAAUUGGAAGUAAGGACUAUCCAAAUUUGGAUCUAGACUCAAAGAAGCAGAAGUGAAGCAGCUCAUGAAUGCUGGACGGGCUAAUCUGACUGCAUUGAGUUCAUUACUGCAACAUUGCUUGAAAGUAUUGAGAAUCUUCACAAAGCCUUCCAGAAUUUGACAAGACAGUAACGGACGAAUAAGAAGCUGUGCUGGAGGACUAUGUAAUGGGAAAUGAUGCAACUAUCAAAGAGGUUCCCUCAUAAGAAAAUUCAUAUAACCUGAUCUUUAAAAAAAUUCAUCAUCAUCUCUGGGUGCCGUUUUUGAUCAAUGUCUUUCUCCAGUUAAGAGUGC